GGGGCUCCGGCCCUUGUCGGGAAAGACGGCCUCUUCACGAAAGCUGUCACCGGGAGAUGAGCCCGCGGCCCAUCAGCUAGUUGGUAGGGUAACGGCCUACCAAGGCGAAGACGGGUAGCUGGUCUGAGAGGAUGAUCAGCCACACUGGGACUGAGACACGGCCCAGACUCCUACGGGAGGCAGCAGUGGGGAAUAUUGGGCAAUGGGCGCAAGCCUGACCCAGCCACGCCGCGUGAGUGAUGAAGGCCUUCGGGUCGUAAAGCUCUGUGGGGAGGGACGAAUCAGCCUCGGGAACAAUACCCCGGGGCCUUGACGGUACCUCCUUAGCAAGCACCGGCUAACUCCGUGCCAGCAGCCGCGGUAA
rnacentral:rRNA from 1 species